AAAAUAGAAGUUUAAAAAAUAUCUGACCUGCAAUCAGAAGAAGGUGAAUUUCAUCCUAUUUUG
rnacentral:tRNA from 1 species